rnacentral:rRNA from 1 species
AGUGAACGCUGGCGGUAGGCCUAACACAUGCAAGUCGAACGGCAGCACAGUAAGAGCUUGCUGUUACGGGUGCCGAGUGGCGGACGGGGGCGGAGUACAUCGGAAUCUACUUUUUAGUAGGGGAUAACGUAGGGAAACUUACGCUAAUAGCGCAUACGGCCUACGGGUGGAAGCAUCGGAUCUUCGGACCUUGCGCGAUUGAAUGAGCCGAUGUCGGAUUAGCUAGUUGGCGGGGUAAAGGCCCACCAAGGCGACGAUCCGUAGCUGGUCUGAGAGGAUGAUCAGCCACACUGGAACUGAGACACGGUCCAGACUCCUACGGGAGGCAGCAGUGGGGAAUAUUGGACAAUGGGCGCAAGCCUGAUCCAGCCAUGCCGCGUGGGUGAAGAAGGUCUUCGGGUUGUAAAGCCCUUUUGUUGGGAAAGAAAAGCAGUAGGUUAAUACCCCGCUGUUCUGACGGUACCCAAAGAAUAAGCACCGGCUAACUUCGUG